GACGAAGGGGGCUAGCGUUGUUCGGAAUUACUGGGCGUAAAGCGUGUGUAGGUGGUUGUCCAAGUUGGAUGUGAAAGCCUUGAGCUCAACUCAAGAAAUGCAUUCAGGACUGGGCGACUAGAGGACCGGAGAGGAUAGUGGAAUUCUCAGUGUAGUGGUGAAAUACGUAGAGAUUGGGAAGAACACCAGUGGCGAAGGCGGCUAUCUGGACGGUUUCUGACACUAAGACACGAAAGCGUGGGGAGCAAACAGG
rnacentral:rRNA from 1 species